CCGUGUCCGAGCCACGAGUCCUUUCGCCGCUCGACUCGUCACGCCACCGCCUGCACCAGCGGCAACCCUGAGCAUUCCCCCUUUUCUCUUCAGCUCGUCGCCGACUGGAACCUCCACCAGCCAGCCACGUCUAUCCGGUUCCGCCCAGCUCCGGUCGCCAACGUCGUUGCUUGUGCCGUCAUCAGAUUUAUCAACUUGGGUAUUAAGGUGCUAUUAGGUGAAGUUGGAAUUGCUUUAGCGGAUUUGGUGCGUCUCAUAUCACACCUUAGGGUCUUACUUGGAGUUGCUGGUUUCAUUGGCUGUCUGAGUUUAUCUGCGGAUUUUCGAUUUAGGUAAAGUAGGGUGGAUUCAAAGCCUUCCAAGAGUUGUAAGAGGGUUAAUUACUUGGAUUAAAUUGUGACCAAAUUUAAGGUAUGUAAUCUUACUAUUAGAAUUACCCACGGGCCAGUCACUGGAUGUAUGACAGCAUGAUGAACUGAUAGUUUAGUAUAUGUUACGGUAGAAUGACAGCAUGAUGAACUGAUAAUUUAGUAUAACCGUUGUACGUUUUUGCUCGAGGAUAUGAAAGAUAUUUGUGCACAUGGAUGCUUGAAUGCUAGCAUGAGAUGAUAUUUGAUUCCAUGAGGUUGUAUGUGAUCUGUGAAUAUUGAGGCAUGUGUGUUUUUUGUAGAGCCAUGAUGUUGAAG